AGUGAACGCUGGCGGUAGGCCUAACACAUGCAAGUCGAACGGCAGCACAGUAAGAGCUUGCUCUUACGGGUGGCGAGUGGCGGACGGGUGAGGAAUACAUCGGAAUCUACUUUUUCGUGGGGGAUAACGUAGGGAAACUUACGCUAAUACCGCAUACGACCUACGGGGGAAAGCAGGGGAUCUUCGGACCUUGCGCGAAUGAAUGAGCCGAUGUCGGAUUAGCUAGUUGGCGGGGUAAAGGCCCACCAAGGCGACGAUCCGUAGCUGGUCUGAGAGGAUGGUCAGCCACACUGGAACUGGGACACGGUCCAGACUCCUACGGGAGGCAGCAGUGGGGAAUAUUGGACAAUGGGCGCAAGCCUGAUCCAGCCAUACCGCGUGGGUGAAGAAGGCCUUCGGGUUGUAAAGCCCUUUUGUUGGUAAAGAAAAGCAGCAGGUUAAUACCCCGCUGUUCUGACGGUACCCAAAGAAUAAGCACCGGCUAACUUCGUG
rnacentral:rRNA from 1 species